ensembl:lncRNA
ACCAGUUGCAGGAACUGAAAAAAUGUAGCAUGCUGGGGCCCGAGGAAGAGAAGGAGUAGCAGCAACAGCUGCAGGCAAGCAACGCUGAGCUGGCGGUGAGGAGCUGAAAAGCACCAUGCAAGUAAAACACAGCAAAAAGUAAAUAAAAUCAAAGACUCAGCGUCAGUAAGUCCUGUCUCUCUUAAAUCUACUGUCACCUGUUUAGCAGGAGUGGGGCCGGUGGAGGUUUGCCUGGUGCUGCAGUGGUCAUGUCAGUGGGGGGAUCUGGGAGUUUCUCUGUGAAUUUCACAUUCCUUUGGCAGCGUGCUAGGUUGUUACGUCUGUUGCUGCCAUAGACAUUAUACGCUCGUACGUCAUUGUCAUGAGACACUCUCACAAGAAAAAUCAUGGUUUAAUAACACAGUAAUGCAGCGUGCUUACGGGAAAGUAACAGUAAUCUAAUUAUUUUUUUUGCAAUAGUAAUCCCUUACUUUACUAGUUAUCUGAAAAAAGUAAUUGGAUUACAGUAACGUGUUACUAUUAACAUGUUACUGCCCAUCUCUGGUAACAAGUGGGAAUUAUCACUGCUCUGCUCUUUACUGUUGAUGCUUUUCGUUUUCUCAGUUCGUGUUCCAAAAUAAUUUGAAUCUGCUUUCAGGGAAAGCACCUCCUUCACUGAAAAGAAGCUGGUGG